rnacentral:lncRNA from 1 species
CCACUGCUAUCCCCAAUCCCCCAAAUGUCCCCAGUGUCCCCAAUGUCCCCAGUGUCCCCAAUCCCCCCCGUGUCCCCAGUGUCCCCAGUGUCCCCAAUCCCCCCCCAGUGUCCCCAGUGUCCCCAGUGUCCCCAGGGCCAGCUCAGCUCUACGGUGUUUAUUGGCGUCUCUAACACUCACUGAUGCAGAUAAAUAGUGGACAUUUGUCACCGCUGCCACCCCCCCGCGGGGACACCCCCGAGGGGACACCCCGGAGGGGACGGACGCCGUGGGGACAUCCCGGGGGGGGCGUGGGGACAUCCGUGGGGUCACCUCGGUGGGGACAGGGCCAUCCCCUUGGGGACAUCCCCUUGGGGACACCCUCAGGGCCACCCCUUGGGGACAUCCCCCAUCAGGGUCACCUCACUGGGGACAUCUCCAGGGCCACCCCCAGGGCCACCCCUUGGGGACAUCCCCUUGGGGACACCCUCAGGGUCACCCCUUGGGGACAUCCGUGGGGUCACCUCACUGGGGACAUCCUGGUGGGGACAGGGCCACCCCUUGGGGACAUCCCCUUGGGGACAUCCCCUUGGGGACACCCCCAGGGCCACCCCUUGGGGACACCCCCCACUGACGUCACCCCUCGGUGUCCCCCGGGUGGUGCCACCCCAUUUUUGGUGCCACCCCCGCCCGUCGAUGUCCCCAUCUCUGUCCCCUCCCCCCCCCGUGUCCCCUCCCCCCCUCCCCCCCCGUGGGGUUUUUGUCACUUUUCCCUUUUCCCGCUCCUUUUUUUUGCCUUUUCCGGUCGCUUUUCCCCCUAAAGUGCGCUCGGGAGGGGGGAGGGGACACCGGGGGGGGGGGAGGGGACACCGGGGGGGGGAGGGGACACCGGGAGGGGGGGGAGGGGACAUUGGUGGGGGGAGGGGACACCGGGUGGGGGAGGGGCGGGGGGGUCAGUCAGUAGCGAACGCGGCCGCGAAAGUGCAAAAGGGGGGAGGGGCCGCGGGGGGAGGGGAGGGGGAGGGGGAGGGGCCUUGCACGGGGCUUUGCACGAGGAGGGUCCUUGCACGAGGAUCGGCCUUGCACAUGGAAGAAUCUUGCACGAGGAUCCUUGCACACGCGCUUUGCACGAGGAUCCUUGCACGAGGAUCGUCCUUGCACGUGGAUCCUUGCACGAGGAGGGUCCUUGCACGUGGAUCCUUGCACAUGGAUCAUCCUUGCACGUGGAUCUUUGCACGUGGCAGAAUCUUGCACAUGGAUCCU